rnacentral:rRNA from 1 species
CAGUAGCCACGGUAAUACGUAGGUCCCGAGCGUUGUCCGGAUUUAUUGGGCGUAAAGCGAGCGCAGGCGGUCAGAUAAGUCUGAAGUUAAAGGCUGUGGCUUAACCAUAGUACGCUUUGGAAACUGUUUAACUUGAGUGCAAGAGGGGAGAGUGGAAUUCCAUGUGUAGCGGUGAAAUGCGUAGAUAUAUGGAGGAACACCGGUGGCGAAAGCGGCCCUCUGGCUUGUAACUGACGCUGAGGCUCGAAAGCGUGGGGAGCAAACAGGAUUAGAGACCCCAGUAGUCCCUGUCUCUUAUACA